rnacentral:lncRNA from 1 species
UCGAUAUCAAAUCACCAUUCUUUUGUAAACCCUAACCUUCCUUCCCCUUCAUCAUGAAUCAUCAUUCUCUUCUCUAAUGGUUAAACAAACCAGACUGGGUUUCCAUUUCGUCAUUGCAAUCCGAUUUCAAAUCUCAGAAACCCUAUGCAAUCCGAAGAUAUCUUUAGGAUUGUUUUCGAAGCCCUAGAUAUCGCAUACAUCUUCCUUCUCGAUGAAGCCUCUUAAAUCUGAACAUUCAAGCAUCAGUCUAGGGUUCCGGUGGUAGAACUCAAGCAGAUCGGUGGAUAUAAAGACGAGUUCCCAGGUGUAGAUGGUGGUUGUGGCAGGUCCCGACAAACAGAGUUGCAGAUCUAGGGUUUAACUUUCAUGUGUGGAUUUUUUAACUCUAAAGUUGCUUCUGAG